rnacentral:ncRNA from 1 species
UGCAAAGGUUUCCUUGGGCUAACGGACAUUGGUCCUCAGGUACAACGGCAGAAAGAAGCUUGACUGCAAGACUCAUCUGUCGAGCAAAGACGAAAGUCGGCCUUGGUGAUCCGACAAUGCUGAGUGAAAAGGCCGUCGCUCAA